GCGAUUUGAACGCGCCAUAUGACCGUCUGUGUCGUACCUGUGACGUGUUUACCGGAAGCUGAAACUCACAUUGGUAAACAGGGCCUGGCGAAGAUGUCCGACGGUCAGACCUUGGGGUCGUCACGGUCACGAUGGAGUUUCCCCAACCUGGCAAAAAUGUUUUGGGGAAUAGUCGAGUUCGUCGGCUUGUUCUUCACGACAAUAGUUCAGUCGGAUCUUACAAAGGAUAGAAUUGUCGCUGGAUCAUCACGGUUCUCGGAUGGCAGAGAUCCUCCAGGCCCCCCUGGUGGAAGGCGGCGCAUGGGCAGGAUAAACCAUGGGGCGGGGCCAAGUGCCCCACCAAUGGGAGGAGGAGGAUGAGGAAGGUAAACGCCUACACAUCCAGUGUAGGCGAUGGGCGCAUGGCAUGUUUACAUGUCUGCACCCAUGGUCCUUGGUUGCCUCUGCCGUUGGCAGAUUUUUGAUGCCAUCCUGGGAAUUCCUACAUUGUAGGGGCCAGGCUGGCUGAUGUGGCAACCGACUUCAGCUCCGCUCUCUCCGCUCCCCUUCAUUCUUUCUGCUUCUCACAACUUACUGACCCAUGUGUUCAUUUCAAACCUUGAAGAUUAAGUUAUUAGGUGCUUUAUAUCCCUCAGAUUUAAAUAAAGAUUUACAAUGUCAAAAUGUUUCUUUGCGAAGAUCCGGUCAUGUAAUAAAAUGAAGACUCAACAAAUUGUUCGACAAUGACAGAAAACGCUAUUUACAGAGUAGAGAAACGUCAACAAUUUGACCAUGUUCUUUCAAAACCAAUUUGUUUUUUCCUGGGGAUCUGUUCUUAAUGUAAAACAAAAAAAACCGAUUGUAUUCAUAUGAUCUAAAUAAAGAGACAACAAAAUGGUAAACAUCCAUCGAAAUGACCAUCGUCACUCAGCCGGGUUCACCACACGAAGGCGGCUCUCUCGCGGAGCAUGCGGACACCGAAGCGCUGCCACUCCCGCUGGUGGAUCCACAUCUCCUGGGAGGUGUCCAAGCAGGCCAGCACCGCCCCUCCCUUCCAAGAGAUCAGCCAGGGGUCCAUGUCCUGCAGGGGGCGCCAUCGUAUGUGCAAACAGUGAAACUAAAACGUUGGCGUCAUGACACAUGUACUUUCAUAAAAUUCAAACCGCAAAAUGAUAAGAGGGUUGCAGUAUACUCCCAGGACUCACUCUAGAAAUGCCAAUACAAUACAGAUCACUCUAUUUAAGAAAACAGUUCCACCGCGAUAUGGUAUGUUGAUGGUUUGAUUUGAUAAACAUGUUAAAUGUUUAAACAACAUGCAUACAUUCAACUAAUAUAACUCCUUUUGAAGAUAUUUGUUACUGAACAAUGUAAUACUAUCGCUUAAAUAAAACAGCCAAUCAGCAUUUCCAAGGUUACCUUGGGGCGUGUGAUGACCUC